rnacentral:rRNA from 1 species
GACCCUAUGCAGCUUCUACUGUAGUUAGUUAUCACAUUCUCAUAAACUUUGUGUAGCGUAUAAGGUUAAUGUUUGUUUUAAAAACAAAAAGUCGAUAGACACAGUUGAAACACCUUUCUUGGUUUUAUGUUAAUGUUCACCUAAUCUUCUAAGGUUAGGGAUAAAUGACUAAUUGGCAGUUUGUCUGGGGCGGACGUCUUUAAUAGAGUAUCAGAGACAUCCACAAGGUAUGUCUUAAAUUGGAUGGAGACCAAGCAAGCCAUGAACGGUAUAAUAAGGUAUAAUGACUUAAGCAUGCUUAACUGAGAGACCUAUAAGUCAAACAGAUACGUAAGUAGGGCAUAAUGAUCCGGCGGUA